GUUUUCUUAGUAUAACAGUAUAGGUGACUUCCAAUUACCCGGCCUUGGUUAGACCCCAAGAGAAAAUA
rnacentral:tRNA from 1 species